rnacentral:rRNA from 1 species
CCCCCUGAAUUUAAGCAUAUUAAUGAGGGGAGGAAAAGAAACUAACAAGGAUUUUCUUAGUAGCGGCGAGCGAAAAGAAAAUAGUUCAGCACUAAGUCACUUUGUCUUUAUGGCAAAUGUGAGAUGCAGUGUAUGGAAUGUCAAAUUUCUAGUAUGAGAAAUUAACGAUUUAAGUCCUUCUUAAAUGAGGCCAUUUACCCAAAGAGGGUGCCAGGCCCGUAUAACGUUAAUGAUUACUAGAUGGCAUUUCCAAAGAGUCGUGUUGCUUGAUAGUGCAGCACUAAGUGGGUGGUAAACUCCAUCUAAAACUAAAUAUAACCAUGAGACCGAUAGUAAACAAGUACCGUGAGGGAAAGUUGAAAAGAACUCUGAAUAGAGAGUUAAAUAGUACGUGAAACUGCUUAGAGGUUAAGCCCGAUGAACCUGAAUAUCCGAUAUGGAAAAUUCAUCAUUAAGAUUUUAAUAUUUAUAAUAUUAUAAUAAUGGUGUGCAUUUUUUCUAUAAAGGACAUUGUAAUCUAUUAACAGUUUAUUCAAAUUAUUUUGCUUGCAAUUUAAUAUCCGAAUAAAGUUUUUAGCCUAUUUAGUCUAUUAAUUCAAUCCCGGGGCGUUCUAUAAAGUUAUGUAUAAUAAUAUUUAUAUUAUUUAUACCUCUAACUAGAGCGUACCUUGAGCAUAUAUGCUGUGACCCGAAAGAUGGUGAACUAUACUUGAUCAGGUUGAAGUCAGGGGAAACCCUGAUGGAAGACCGAAACAGUUCUGACGUGCAAAUCGAUUGUCAGAAUUCUGGUUCCCUCCGAAGUUUCCCUCAGGAUAGCUGGUGCAUUUAAAAAUUAUGUAAAAUAAUCUUAUCUGGUAAAGCGAAUGAUUAGAGGCCUUAGGGUCGAAACGAUCUUAACCUAUUCUCAAACUUUAAAUGGGUAAGAACCUCACCUUUCUUGGUAUGAAGGUUGUGGUUGUGAUAUAAUGUGCCCAGUGGGCCACUUUUGGUAAGCAGAACUGGCGCUGUGGGAUGAACCAAACGUAAUGUUACGGUGCCCAAAUUAACAACUCAUGCAGAUACCAUGAAAGGCGUUGGUUGCUUAAAACAGCAGGACGGUGGACAUGGAAGUCGUAAUCCGCUAAGGAGUGUGUAGAUCACGAGUUAGUCGGUCCUAAGUUUAAGGCGAAAGCCGAAAAUUUUCAAGUUAUAAUGAAAAGUAAUUAAACACUUGAAUAAUUUUGAACGAAAGGGAAUACGGUUCCAAUUCCGUAACCUGUUGAGUAUCCGUUUGUUAUUAAAUAUGGGCCUUGUGCUCAUCCUGGCAACAGGAACGACCAUAAAGAAGCCGUCGAGAGGUAUCGGAAGAGUUUUCUUUUCUGUUUUAUAGUCGUACUACCAUGGAAGUCUUUCGAAGAGAGAUAUGGUAGAUGGACUAGAAGAGCAUGACAUUUACUGUUGUGUCGAUAUUUUCUCCUCGGACCUUGAAAAUUUAUGGUGGGGUCACGCAAACUUCUCAACAGGCCGUACCAAUAUCCGCAGCUGGUCUCCAAGGUGAAGAGUCUCUAGUCGAUAGAAUAAUGUAGGUAAA